rnacentral:rRNA from 1 species
UACGUAGGGUGCAAGCGUUGUCCGGAAUUAUUGGGCGUAAAGAGCUCGUAGGCGGUUUGUCGCGUCUGCUGUGAAAACUCGGGGCUUAACUCCGGGCCUGCAGUCGAUACGGGCAGGCUGGAGUUCGGUAGGGGAGACUGGAAUUCCUGGUGUAGCGGUGAAAUGCGCAGAUAUCGGGAGGAACACCUAUGGCGAAGGCAGCUCGCUGGGACGUUACUGACGCUGAGACGCGAAAGCGUGGGGAGCAAACAGG